UGAGGAAUAUUGGUCAAUGGGCGGAAGCCUGAACCAGCCAUGCCGCGUGAAGGAAUAAGGCCCUAUGGGUCGUAAACUUCUUUUGACGGGGAGCAAUAAGAUCUACGUGUAGAUCGAUGAGAGUACUCGUCGAAUAAGCAUCGGCUAACUCCGUGCCAGCAGCCGCGGUAAUACGGAGGAUGCAAGCGUUAUCCGGAUUUAUUGGGUUUAAAGGGUGCGUAGGCUGUUUGUCAAGUCAGGGGUGAAAUACCGCAGCUCAACUGUGGAAUUGCCUUUGAUAC
rnacentral:rRNA from 1 species